AUUCAGUUUGCACCUGGUGACAUAGUAAAGGUAGCCUUGGGUGAUUACUAGUUAUAAAUGAUUCAUUUUCUUGUUGAUGCUGAUAUUCCUUUUUUAAUAGUGAACGGAGGGAGUACCUGACCUUAUGCCUGUCACAUUGCCAUGUUAUCUUCAUAUGGGUAUGUUACAAAUCUCUGCUAUUUGUUUAUUAAAUGAAGAAAGUAUAGCAGAUAUGAUGCUAAUUUUAUGGUGAUGUAUAAAAAAAAUAUUAGUAGUGCGAAGUUUAUGAAAAUGGUUGAGCCCCUAGGAGAGGCUGAUGGUGUUGUUUGAUACUUUGAUGCUAUGUUGUCCUAUGUAGUUAUGAAAUGUUUUAUGUCAAUUACUUCAUUGAGCUUGAGUGCAUGAAACGAGGGAUUAUACCAGACCUAUAUAGAUCUAGUUUGCUUUGUUAUUGCAGUUUUGUAAUAUGUUCCUCCUACACCGUGUAUAGUUACACUUACAUACAAAAAUGGUUCUUUAUUUCUCAAGUACUCUCAGUUCCUACCCAUCUUGUCCUUUCGGACGUGGAUUAGUUUGAUGCUAUCCUUGACAUGGAAAAAUAUGAGUUGGCUCCUGAGAUAGAAGAGGAAGAAGUAAGACGGUACCGACUCUGAGAAUCAAGCUAAUUUUGUUAUGUUCUCACUGCUCACAAUCUUUCCCAUAUAUUGUGGAUUCACUUGCCAAUACAGGAAGGCGAGAUAGAGUAUGUUGAAGGUGAUGAUAUCGAGAUGGGUGACAUGGAUGAUAUGGAAGAUUUUGAAGUUUUGGUGAUGAAGAUGGUAAACAUUUCCCUUGUUUCUAUUGAUUUUAAUUUUGCAUGUUAUAGAGUGCUCUGAUUUGCGGAGAUACUUCUCAUUUCGCUGUGUUCACUAGAUAAUGUAAAGAAACUUUACAUUUUCUGAAUUAUGGGCCUUGAAAUUCCAUUCUGACUUGUUUAAUUAAGUAUGCGGUGUAGAAAUAUUUAUUUGGACAAAAUGGUUAUUUCGCAUAGUAGUGCCAACUGCAAAUCUGACCUCCAUACAAAAUACAAAAUGAUUGAAGUAGUGGCCUAGGGGGGAUCAUACACCAUGUCCUCUAUAAACAUUGCUAAAAUUGAAUACAUCUUACUGUCUUGUCAGUUGUCACGUACGAUUUGAUGUCCAGCACAUAAAGUAGUAGUGGCCUGGGGGGAUCAGUAAUUAUGUUUUUCUCUUUAUGAAAGCUCUUUGGAUGAUUUCUUUAUUGUAGAGGUUCUCCCAAAAUAUGCGUUUGUUUCACAAUGUUAGUUUUUCUUUCAAAGUGAUUUCAUCGUGUCGUACACUAAUUUGAACUAGCACAAAUUCCUGUCAGAGCAUAAUUUGUUCCUCACCUUUCCGCAACAGGUGGAAGAAGACGAGGACAGGGGUAGCAGGCAAAGGACGCGAAUGUGAUUUUCCAGGCACGGCUUCAGUAACAUGCUUGGUGUCGAUGAUGUUGUACUUUAGAUAAUUUUGCCUGUGUUUCUCGUGAUGACCGCAACUCUCUUCUAUGUGAUGGUUGUUUAGAUGAUCGAUAUCGACUUGUAAUGUGAAGACAAACUCGC
rnacentral:lncRNA from 1 species